ACACGCGCCGCCCAGCCGCGCCAGCCAGCCAGGCCAGCCGCCCCCGAGGGCUCCGCGACGACGGUGUCACGUUUCAAAUCGGGAUUUGGGUGUAACAUAACCGGGACGAGUGACCAGUGUGAUUGACCAGUGAUUGGCCAGGGACGUGGUAUGCGGGCGUGGUAGACGCCGCCUCCACCAUGCUCCACGCCAGCCUGCUUUCCGUGGCCAUCGUCGCCGUGCUCAUGAGCACGGCGAUGACCGAGCCCGCGCACCACCACGGCUACCGCGCGCCGCACUGGGACAGCGGGGAGUCGCACACGGCCGCGCCGCCGCGCCUCCGACACCACCUCCGCCACCACGGCCAGGGUGCGCCCGUGCCCGCGCCCGCGCCGCCAGCCGGCAGCAGCCUGGACCACCUCCUGGACCGCCUGGACAACCUGGAGACGAUGAACCAGCUGGACGCCAGCGCGUCGUACUGGAGCCGCGCCGACGACCGCGCCGACCGCGCGGCCAUGGAGGACCUGCGGCGCGCCGCCGACGAGUACACCCGCGGCGACGCGGCCGCGGAGAUCAGGGCGGCCGUCAGGAAGCGCCACCACGUCCCGCCGGCCCUGCCCGCCCUGCCCGCCAGGACGGCCGCCUUGACCAUGGCCGCGGACGGCAAGCGGAAGUACCACCACGAGUUUUCGGACGAGGACGACGACGACGACGACGACCUGGACAACGACGACUCCCUGGCGGACGAGGAUGACAAGGAGGACGAGGAAGACGACGAGGAGGAUGAUGAGGACGACGGCGCGUCCGAGGAAGCAGACAAGGUGGACGAACUGGAUGUGGAUUACAGGAGGCACCACGUCAGCCCGGAGAUGUCCCAGGCGCUGAGCGACUCGCCGCCCAUGUCGUACAGCGAGCACAAGUGGAACUCGUACGGCACCAGGGAGAACCUGCAGAACACCCGCCGCAACGGACUCAAGCCCGAGGCGCAGACCUCUUUGCGCCAAGCCAACGAGGCGACCGAACACAUCCUCAAGAUGGCCUCCAACGGGUCCUGCAAGGUGCCGGCGCCCGUGGUGGUGAACGUGGGCAGCCUGUACCCGGACCCCUCCAAGGAGUACAUCCCGCACUGCACCAUCCUGCACCGCUGCACCGACGCCACCGGCUGCUGCAGGAGCAGCAAGUACACGUGCAAGGCGAAGCGGAGCGUGCGCAUCGAGCUCGCCUUCUACACGACGCGCGUUGGGCACCGGAACCCCAUCGUGGAGAAGCUGGCCUUCUACAACGAGACGGAGUGCGAGUGCGCGCCCAUCGAAGACACCCGCUUCCGCAUCAACGACGUCCGGGCCAGCAGCGCCAACGACGCCCACGCCACGGCCUCGUCCAGGAAGCAGCGGCAGACGCAGACCCCGGCCUACAUCGCCAUCGCGCCCUACAACAAGCCGGGGUGCCGCUGCCCCAGCACCUACAGCCCCAGGGACCUGCCCAAGCCGCGCGAAUGCACCUGCGACUGCUUCGACCGCCAGGCGGACUGCCUCAAGUUCAAGAAGGGCAAGGAGUACUUCUCCAUGGAGGACCGACUAUGCAUCGAGAAGAACCUGUGCAAGCUGCCCGAGUGCGAGUUCGGCCCCUUCUGGAAGCUGAGCGGCCGCUGCCCGAGGAAGAACGAGAAGUUCCACCACGACAACCGGAGGAGCGAGAAGUUCUCCCACGACACGCACAGCAGACCAGUGCAGUACUCCCCCAAGUUCUACCGGCCUUGAACGACCUCGAGCAGACUCGACAACCCUUCGGAGGCGUUCCCGAAGUGCCUCGAGGCGUUCUCGAGGCGUUCUCGAGGCGUUCUCGAGGCGUUCUCGAGGCGUUCUCGAGGCGUUCUCGAGGUGUUCCAGAUGGCGCUAGGAACUCUGCUGCUGAGGCGCUCUCGAUACCUCGCCCAGGGGCGUUCCUCGGGGACGUUCCCCUAGGGCAUUCCCUAGGGCGUUCCCUAGGGCGUUCCCUAGGGCGUUCCCUAGGGCGUUCCCUAGGGCGUUCCCUAGGGCGUUCCCUUAGGCGUUCGCGGGGCGUUGCCGAAAUGCUGAAGUGACGCUGCGGACUGCACGGCCUGCGGGUUGGAAGAGGCUACUUAAUGACUUGGCUGUGAUAGACAAGGACAGAUGCUGCAGCCAACUCCGACUCUAGAUUUCUCAUAGUUCGGAUAUGGGGUACGGGUCGCUGCCCGCAGCGCGCCGCAGCGUGUGUCGAACACAGGGCUGCCAACCAGGGCGAACCUACCUAGGCGCCCCUCUUGGCCGAGCGGGCAAGCUGACAAUUUCAGGCUCGUUAGAUCGUGGGUUCAACUACGAUCUUCUCCUUUUCUCCCCUUUUUGUUUGCCCGAGCUCUGCAUUCCAGAACCACCAGUGAGUGGCCGACGGGGACGCAUGUGCCUGGCUGCGCCUGGCUCGCUGCGGCUAUGGCGCCAAAACUUGUGAGUGUGUGUGUGUGUGUGUGUGUGCCCAACCGGGCGAACUUCGCUGCUGUUGUCUCCCCGCUGCGCGUCCCCUAUGACUGAGAAAAGGCUACUUCGGACAGUAUUGACAAAUUAGAAUAGAGGAAGUGAAGCAGGAAGCCUCAAUUGACUAUAUUGUAUGUUAUUUUUUCAAUAACGAAUCCUCGUUUAAGCGUAGCGUAUUUAUAUUUUGUUUUGUGUUUAUAUUUCUAAGUUUGUGGAUCGCAGCACGAGUAGAGUGUAUACAUACUAUGGUUACCGUUUUAUACCUAGUUCUAAGGGCUGGAGCACAACUUCGUUGUUUGAGGGAAAUCCUGGAGGGGUGGGGUGGGGAGGGGUCUGGAGGCCGUCUGUUGCACAAACGGCACAAGUUUUGGAGUUUUGCUCGUUACUGCAUUUUCUCUUGACGCCACGAGCGUCAUUGAACCUGCAUUCAUUCGAGUGUUAAAAUUAUUACGAGACACACUGUGAGCGUGUGUGUGAGUGUAUGUAUGCAUGUGAGUGUGUGUGACGGAGUGUGCGUGUGUUCUUGCGCGUGCGUUUUGUGGACAGGGUUUGUCAGCGCGAUCGAGACAAGUUUUGCCCAUACCUGAUUAAGAAAACCUGAAAGGUGAAAGCUGUAAGAGUUUUCAUGUGUACAGAGAGACUAUCAUUGUAGCCUAAAGUAUUUACGCAACUUUUUGUUAAAAUGGCUUCUUCUUGUAACGUAGGUCAAACAGUAAACUCUAGACUUUGAAACAGUGUAGUGUAGAUUCUAUGUAUGCAUACCCUAUUGCUCUGAAUUAGAUUCAUAUUUGGCGGAGUGACUUUGAUUCAACUUCUCUCGCUAGAAUUCUCCUGGAGAGUCAACGGAACACACUAGUGCUGUUCAAAGAACAGGUCUUAUACGUAACUUUCGCUAGCAGUUCGCGGAUCUAGUCAUCCUGCCUUUACGACCCCCUAUGCCAUGCCUGUGUACACUAUCCGGGGCACCCUGUGCGGUGCGGUUACUGCUAGUCACUUUUUAUAGAGCACUACUCCUUGAAAUUUGCUUCCGUUGAGAUGUAAUUAUUUUACGUUAAGACAUACUCUGCCGACAGAGCAGGAAUAUUAAUGCAUCUUUAAAUUAUGGCCGCCAAAAUGUGUAUUAGAAAUAUUUGGAUGCGGAGCACUGGUCCGCCGGACAGUCCUCUGCAACUCGCAUUAUGUUGAGAUGUUUGUUCGACAAAAGCCCCUUUGAUAACUUACUGCUGCUUUUGAUCUGGUGUUGAUUUUGUGUGAACGUAAGGUGCCGCGCUGAAAUGUAAAUUUAGACGAAUAAAAUCGGCAGGAAUCAACCCAGCCUUUGCCCAGAAA
rnacentral:misc_RNA from 1 species